AACACAUGCAAGUCGAACGGUAACAGGAAGCAGCUUGCUGCUUCGCUGACGAGUGGCGGACGGGUGAGUAAUGUCUGGGAAGCUGCCUGAUGGGGGGGGAUAACUACUGGAAACGGUAGCUAAUACCGCAUAUGUCGCAAGACCAAAGAGGGGGACCUUCGGGCCUCUUGCCAUCGGAUGUGCCCAGAUGGGAUUAGCUUGUUGGUGGGGUAACGGCUCACCAAGGCGACGAUCCCUAGCUGGUCUGAGAGGAUGACCAGCCACACUGGAACUGAGACACGGUCCAGACUCCUACGGGAGGCAGCAGUGGGGAAUAUUGCACAAUGGGCGCAAGCCUGAUGCAGCCAUGCCGCGUGUAUGAAGAAGGCCUUCGGGUUGUAAAGUACUUUCAGCGGGGAGGAAGGGAGUAAAGUUAAUACCUUUGCUCAUUGACGUUACCCGCAGAAGAAGCCCCGGCUAACUCCGUGCCAGCAGCCGCGGUAAUACGGAGGGUGCAAGCGUUAAUCGGAAUCACUGGGCGUAAAGCGCACGCAGGCGGUUUGUUAAGUCAGAUGUGAAAUCCCCGGGCUCAACCUGGGAACUGCAUCUGAUACUGGCAAGCUUGAGUCUCGUAGAGGGGGGUAGAAUUCCAGGUGUAGCGGUGAAAUGCGUAGAGAUCUGGAGGAUACCGGUGGCGAAGGCGGCCCCCUGGACGAAGACUGACGC
rnacentral:rRNA from 1 species